AUGAACGCUGGCGGCGUGCCUAAUACAUGCAAGUCGAGCGAACAGACGAGGAGCUUGCUCCUCUGACGUUAGCGGCGGACGGGUGAGUAACACGUGGAUAACCUACCUAUAAGACUGGGAUAACUUCGGGAAACCGGAGCUAAUACCGGAUAAUAUAUUGAACCGCAUGGUUCAAUAGUGAAAGACGGUUUUGCUGUCACUUAUAGAUGAAUCCGCGCCGCAUUAGCUAGUUGGUAAGGUAACGGCUUACCAAGGCAACGAUGCGUAGCCGACCUGAGAGGGUGAUCGGCCACACUGGAACUGAGACACGGUCCAGACUCCUACGGGAGGCAGCAGUAGGGAAUCUUCCGCAAUGGGCGAAAGCUUGACGGAGCAACGCCGCGUGAGUGAUGAAGGUCUUCGGAUCGUAAAACUCUGUUAUUAGGGAAGAACAAAUGUGUAAGUAACUAUGCACGUCUUGACGGUACCUAAUCAGAAAGCCACGGCUAACUACGUG
rnacentral:rRNA from 1 species